AAGAAAAACAUGACAAUGUCUGAGGCCGUGACAGCCAGCUAAACAGUCUUUCAUGUAAUCUACAGGAGGCGGGGGUGGUGGGGGAGAUCAGAUGACUAAUUAUACUCUGCUAUGAAGCCUGAAGCAAUGCACUAUGGGAAUCAACGCAGGGCAUGCGAGGGCUAAACCCUGUCACAAAGGCUCUGAUCAUUGAACAGACCCAGCUCUUAUUUUGGUUUUCAUUUCAGACUCAGCAGGUGGUGGAGUGACUAACACCACAACAGGAGUUGAUCAAGCAGAGAAAGACAAACACUGGUAUGAUUGUGUGCCCUCCGCUCAAGGCUCAGCAACGUGACGCUGUUGGUGGGAAAUGAACAGGGUCUAUGCUGUGCUGUGCGUUAGUACAACAAUAAGGAGAUGAGUGAAUGUGACUGCAUGCGGACCUCAACCCUGCACAAACUCAAACACCUCCAUUUUGCUUGGUAUGGAAAUGUGUCUCAUAUUUAGACUGUGGACAUUAACAUUUGUUGCCAUCAUCCAAACUAAAUUUUGAUUCCUCUUGCCCUUGUCUUACAUAUCCUCCAACCUUACAUGUGCUCAUAGACUCAUUUUCAUAAUUACGUUACUUUUUGAGAUGGCGGUUUGAUUUCAUGAGUUUGCCUGUUCUGUUUAUACAACUAAAACAUAUGAAUGAAUGUAUGACAGACAUCAACAUGAAAUAAACAAAACAAAUACACAAAAAAAUUGUUAAUUAGUUUGCAAAUAAAUAAAAAGCGCAUAACAUAACAUACAGUGGCUUGAGAAAGUUUACACACACAUGCUAAAGUUGAUUAAAAAGAAGAAUAAAAAAA